rnacentral:tRNA from 1 species
GGGCCCGUCGUCUAGCCUGGUUAGGACGCCGCCCUGACGAGGCGGAGGUCCGGGGUUCAAGUCCCCGCGGGCCCACCA